GCUCCUUACACAAAGCUCUCUUAUGAAAGAAUAAAGAGUAUAUAUUAUGUACAAGCCUUUCUUGGUAGCCCCUGUUAAGCAUCCUAUUAAUUAUAAGUGUGUGUAUGUAAGGUAAUGCAUCAUGAGACUUUUAUGCAUGCUCUCUCUUAAAUAGCUAUGCCUUUCCUAUAUGUAACAUAACAUGAAACACUCUUUUCAAAGAAAUGCAUAUGCAUUUGGACUAAGGAAAGAUAAUGAAAAUGUUUGACU